rnacentral:other from 1 species
GCGACCCUGCCCUAUUCGUGAUAGGUCUGUUAAACCCACAUUUCUUAUAAGGGACGCCGGAUCUCUUUGCGUGAAUUGCAGGCCUCCCGGCUUUGCCGGAUGUUGGAAGCAGCGAAGUGCAAAGGAGGCGACCCACCUGUACGACGGUGCAGGUUAUAAAUGGGCUUACACGGUAAUGGCGGGGUCAUA